rnacentral:lncRNA from 1 species
AGACCUCCGAGCUCCCGUCCCCGGGAGGGUGACAACCGCCAGCCGGCCCACCUCCUCAGUCCCCAUUGGCUACAAGGCGCCACUGCCGCGCUAUGGCUGGGGCUUCCCAGCCAGAGCAGGAGAAUGACGGCCGCUCCCUCCCGCGCCGGAAAGGAGGCAUCACCCUGCACGUUCCCCACAAAUUCAACCCACUGCUGGAGGAAUUCACGGAUACAGGAACCGUAAAUGCAGAGACGAGCUGGGAUUGCGUGUGCAGUGGGAACAGCCUCAGAAUAGCUCAUCAUCUAACAGAGCGCUGCGUCAGUGCAGAUACUGAGUGUUAAUUGUCAAGUUGGAGGUACCCAGAAGCACCUGAGAGAUGGGCUUCUGGGCAUGCCUGUGGGGGACGAUCAUAAAUGAACUGAUGCAGGAAGACCCAUCUGAACUGAGGGCAGGACCUGGUGUGGAUCCUGGACUGUAUAAAACGGAGCGAUGAAGCUAAGAGAAACAUGCCCUUCUUGCCUUCUGCUUCCUGAUUGUAGAUGGGAUGUGAUCAGCUGCAUCAGGAUCCUGCUACGGAUGCCCUUGCCUGAACCGUGAGCCAGAAUGAACCAUUUUCCCUUGA